ensembl:lncRNA
AGGAGAAGGAGGAGAAGGAGAGGGAGAAGGAGAAGGAGAAGAAGGAGAAGGAGAAGGAGGAGAAGGAGAGGGAGAAGGAGAAGGAGAAGGAGGAGAAGGAGAGGGAGAAGGAGAGGGAGAGGGAGAAAUGGAUAGACAUGGCAAUAUCAAGAAUGGCUGAAAGUGAGAAGAGAAAAUGGGAGGAGAGGAGGAUAAGGGAGGAAGAAAGACAAACUGAGGUGGAGUGGAAAAGGAUUGAGGCAGAGAGAAGCAAAGUGGAAGAAAUGAAAUUGACAGAGAGAAUUGAGCUGGAGAUCCUGAGGAAGAAAAGGAAGGUGGGAGAGGAAAAGCAGAGAGGGAAGGAAGCCAUCGAGAGGGGAAAGGACGCAAUAAGAAAGAAGGCUCUUGAAAAGGAGAGGGGAAGCAUUGAAAAAGAGAGAGUGAAACUGAUGGAGGAGAAGAGGGCGGUAGAGGAAAUGAAGGCUAGAGUUGACCAAGAUAGACUGGAGAUUGAAGAAAUAAAGCUAAGAGAGACUCAACAAAGAGAGCUAGAAUAUGUGAACAGAAAGAAAGAGUUGGAGGGUGAGAAAAGAAAGGCUGAUGCAAAGAGAGAGAGAAUGAGGGAAGAAAUGGAGAAAGGUCUGAAGGAGGUGGAGGUGCAGAAAGAGAAACUUGAAGAAAACGAGAUGAGGCUCAGGGAGAAGUUAGCAAAGAAGAAAGAGAAGGUUCUCAUGAGAAAGAAAGAGUUGGAGGAUGAAUGUCAAAAAAUUGAAACUGAAAAAAGGAGAGUUGAAGAGGAAUUGAAGGCGGUGCAGGAGAAAGUGAAUCUCCUGAAAGCACAACUGCUGGAGGGCAAAAGAAAGAUGGAGAUGCAGAGAAAUGAGGAGGGAAUGAGCAAGUCAAGGGUGGAGCAAGAGUGGAAGAUGCUUGAGAUGGAGAAAAAGAGAAUGGAGGAGAAAAUGGAGAUGGAGAGGAAAGAGGUGGAGGCUCAGAGACUGCACCUGCAAGAGAAGGAGAGAAAGCUCAAGGAGGACGUGACAAUGAAGAAAGAGAAGAACGCCUCAAAAAAGAAAGAGGUUGAGGAAGGAUGGAAAAAUAUUGAGGCAGAGAGGAAAACUGAAAAUGAGAGGAUGACAUCCAGAAAGAAGGAGGUCGAGGAUAAGUGGAAAAAGAUCGAAACUGAGAGGAGGACAAUGGAGGAGAGGAUAAAGAGUGAAGUCAAUAAAGUGGAGAUUCAGAGACAGAGACUGCUGAGGAUGGAGAAAGAGAAUUGGGACAGAAAGGAGCCAAAGCCUGAAGCCUGUAACAAUGAUUCUCCUGGAAAGUGUGAUGAGAGUAGAGACAGACAAGAGACUAAACCAAACAAAAACAUGAAUGUGGAAGAAUGCACUCAGGACAAGACUGUAGGUCAAAAGAAUAACGAUAGCAAAGAAUCAGAGACAAGAAAAGCACCCAAGAUGCAAGUUGAGGGGACAGUGACUGAAAAUGAACAUGAAAAGGACGUUGACAAUUCUCCAUGGGACAGUGAUGAGAGUGAGCGCAAGGUCACCACAGAGAAGGAAGAGGCUAAAUUGAUCCAGAAAAAUAAGGAAAAGGUGAAGAUGCAGGACACAGACUUUGGUAUAAAUGACAAAGACAACAUGGAGGAUAAAAUGGAGAUGGAGAUGAAAGAGGUGGAGGCUCAGAGACUGCACCUGCAAGAGAAGGAGAGAAAGCUCAAGGAGGACGUGACAAUGAAGAAAGAGAAGCACGCCUCAAAAAUGAAAGAGGUUGAGGAAGGAUGGAAAAAUAUUGAGGCAGAGAGGAAAACUGAAAAUGAGAGGAUGACAUCAAGAAAGAAGGAGGUCGAGGAUGAGUGGAAAAAGAUCGAAACUGAGAGGAGGACAAUGGAGGAGAGGAUAGAGAGUGAAGUCAAUAAAGUGGAGAUGCAGAGAAAUGAGGAGGGAAUGAGCAAGUCAAGGGUCGAGGAUGAGUGGAAAAAGAUCGAAACUGAGAGGAGGACAAUGGAGGAGAGGAUAGAGAGUGAAGUCAAUAAAGUGGAGAUUCAGAGA